rnacentral:rRNA from 1 species
UACCAGCACCCCGAGUAGUCGGGACGAUUAUUGGGCCUAAAGCAUCCGUAGCUUGUCCUGCAAGUCCUCCGUUAAAUCCACCUGCUCAACAGAUGGGCUGCGGAGGAUACUACAGGGCUAGGAGGCGGGAGAGGCAAGCGGUACUCAGUGGGUAGGGGUAAAAUCCUCUGAUCCAUUGAAGACCACCAGUGGCGAAGGCGGCUUGCCAGAACGCGCUCGACGGUGAGGGAUGAAAGCUGGGGGAGCAAACCGG